rnacentral:lncRNA from 1 species
AGAUUGUAUUUGCUCCAGAGGAGUUCUUUUGAUGAAAGAGAUCAAGUCAUAUAGGAAUGUUCUUCCCUCUCUAUGAGUGUAAGCUGUGUGGGUCCUUUCAAAACUUUAGGUCUCAGUGAAUCAUCACAUGAGAGCAAAUAUCCAGUAUGCCAAAUUAUACUGAGACCGGGAUGUCUGAUAUAAUUGUAAGAAGUGGAGAGGUAGACCAGUUCUGAGAUUCAUAAUCCAGACUCUGCACUGGAUGAGGACUGAUGCUUCUUGCGUGACCUCCCAAGUAUUUAUUUAUGUAACACCUAUUGAAUGAAGAUGUGUGAAGAUGUAAGGAUGAAAGAAAGGUUCCUCCCUUCAACAGCCUCCAUUCACUCUAUAUAAUGCUAUAUAUCCAUUUAAGCCUGAAUGUAAUUGAAAUCUAAUUCAAUAUUACUCCGGCAAAAAUGAGAAAAAAAAGGGUAGUUUAAUGGAAGAUUAAUUGUGUAGGGGAAGCAAACUAGUCAGUUAUUUUGUGGGUGUUUUUGUGUUCCUUGGAAAGUAUUGUGAGCAAUUAAUUAGUAUGCAGACCUCGUAUUCUCUAGCGGUAUCUUGACUAUAGCUAAAGAAGAAUAAUAUUUGGCAAGAAGUGAUUAUAAAUUAUUUUAAAAAAUCAAACAUAAAAGAAAAGUGAACUUUCUGGUUCCUUAAGUAGGCCUAUGGAGACACAGUGGCAGAGCCAGGUGGAUUAUUCUCCUUGAUUUUCAAAAUCAGUGUUUUAAUGGAGGGCUAAUUACGUAGAAGAGAAGAAAUGAUGGUAUGCAAGAAAAACAAAUUGUAUAGAUAAAAGCUCUUUUUGUGUGUGGUGGGGAGGAGAUUUACACAUUUUGGUGGUAGAUUUGGACAGAACUAGAAUUUCCAUGUAUUUUGGCGUUGGGCAGCAGAACAGCCGAAGUCUUAGUAAAACACACAUACACACAGAGAUGUGCACACACAGGCACACACUCACAGAAACGUGCCUCACACAGCAUUCCUGUUUUUAAAAAACUAUUAAAACGUGCCUGUGUUUCCCUCUAUUGUCCUUCUUGGUACCUCUUUCUUCCUUUUUUUUCUCCUUCCUCCCUUCCUUUCCUUUUUCCCAUUUAGGCUGGAAACGACUCUUUCUCUAUUGAAAAACCUUCACAACUGCGGUCAUUUCACAUGCAACUCAGGUCCUUAGUUUCAGACCAUCUGCUGCCCUCUUGUGGCCAUACAAUCCACCUAUCCAUGCCCCAACUCUAAGACCCUGAUGGUUUUUGUCAGUUGAAAUGUUUUUUUCUCAGAUGAAACGGACAUCUCAAAUUAUAAAAAAGCUAUUUUUACUGUCAUAUAUUACACCAUUAUCUUCUAAUACACUUCUCUAAAGGAUAUUUGAAAGUAGCGCAUUUCACUCAUUCAUGUGGAGUCUUCACCUGAUGGAUGCCUCAUUCUGUGAAUAAACUGGCGGUGUUGAUCUACAGCUGUAUACAGACCACAUCUUUCUUCUAAAGCUGCAAGGCACACAUUUAAACUCAAAUCUCAGAGAUUGCAACACCUAGAUUGCAGUACAAAUUGGUAUGACCGACCAGACCCAGCAACCAUCGAUCUUCAUUCUUCCUGCCACCCUGAAAACUGAAACCUUUUGUAGCAAGAGGUAACUAAAAUUCUGAAGUCGGCUUGCAAUAAAGGGAAGCAACAACUUUAAGAUUGGACUGAAAUAUCUGACAGCUCUCUGAAACAAAACAAAAACAAAAUGUACCCAGGUUUCAGUUACGCUCUAUUUGGUUUCUUUUCUUGUUAAAUAAGUGCUGGCAUAUAACUCAUUAGACACCUUGUGGGCCGCCCCACAAAGAUGUGGGCAGUUCAAUUUAGAGUAAGUGGGAGGUGUAUAAUUCAGAGUUUACACUUCUAGAUAAAUCAGGCUUCAGCAUGAGAUUUUUGCCAUAUACUUCAGAUAAUCUUAUUUCCCUAGCUGCUGGCUCAAAUUUGAAUUUAAACAGAAAUACAAACAAUACAUAGAGGGGGGAAAGUUUUCCAAUAACAAUUUCCAUUAAUAAUGAAAAUUUGUUUGAGGAAGUAAACACCUCUUAGAACUUGUUUUCCUGAUUCAUUCCUUCAUUUUGGAGUAGACAGGAAAACUAUGUCCUUAUCUAGGAGGCUGAAGGCAGAUCAUCUGUUUGGUCUAUUCUCAAGUGGUUCUAAAACCUUUUUAACUAGUCUUGGAGACAUGUUUAACUGUUGGUCAGAGAAUGUGCUUUUACUAGAAAGAGCUUCAGCAGAUUCUCUCUUCUUGGUGUCUAGUGAUUUCUGCCCAACCCUUGGCCUUUCCUGGGACAGUUUGUGCUCAAACUGGAUGAUCACAUGUCUCCAAGUGUAGCUUGACCUAAGUCUGUUUAAUGGGUAGACAGGGCAUUAGAAGUGGUUGCGGAUUUUUCUUCUAUCAGAAAAAUAUAUAUUAAAAACAAAACAGCAACAAUAAAAAGUACAAGACAAAAACAAGCAAACAAACAAACAGAAAACUGGAGUAUCUCUCAUUUGAGAAAUAUCCCUUCUCCCUCAAGAUGAUUAGAAUUCUGUGGCAUAUAGUUUCCACAGUUAUCAAGAUGAGGUUUACUAUUAGGCCUCAACAGACAAAAUAACACCACAACACACUGCUCUUUGCCAACUAUAUGGCCAAAGAUUUACAAAUGAAUAACUAUUUCACUCAAUGCUAAUUAUGGUAUGAUGGUACUAGCAUUCUCAUUCCCAGCUGUUGCUAGUUGUGGUAGACUAUUUGCAACAAAUGACAGAAGUUCCCUUACUUGAAAGAAUCCCCCCUUGCCAUGUAAUUUUGCAAAUCCCCUCAUCAACAGAUGGAGUAUCCUUGCCCUUCUCUUUAACCUGGGCUGGCCUUGUGACUUUCUUUGACCAACAGAGUGUGGUGGAAGUGAUUCUUGACCCAGACAUAAUGACACUUUUAUGUCUGCAUAUAACAUCAUGAGAAGCUUUCUUGCUCUUAUUCUGCCCUUGUCUGUAGUGGAGAAUCAUCUGUUAUUGCUAUUUGAGAUCACAAGUCAUUACCUUCCUGAGGAAUGGACUCUGUUAUUAAAUUCACUCUCAUCUUUCUGAUUUAGAUUUCUCCUAAUACUGAUUUCUCCUAAUCCUCCCUCAGAAAGACUGAUUUCUACUGCUUAAUUCUAGGCACAGCUUACUUUCAGAAUACACAUUUUGACCAAACUCUUCAUAAACUGUGUAGAACCAGACAAGGGUGGGGUAAGUAAAUAAAACAAGGCGCUUAGAUUGGAUGCAAUAUUUAAGGGGCACCAAAAACGCAAAAGUCAAGAGAAAUAAUAGUUUAAUGCAGUAUUAUAAAAAAUCAAAAUCAAUGCAAAAGUCCAUAAUGAACACACUAUCAGAAAUUUAAACAAAGACAUGAUGAGUAUGGAACCAUGUAAGAUGGAUUUGGGCUAAAUAUAUCUAAGUUAAAUUUCUUUACUUUGACAGUUGUUACUUGUGAGGCCUCAGAAAAUUUAUAUUCUCCAAAUCUCUGUUUUGUCAUUUGCAUAAUGGAACUAUUAUUUUCUGUGGGUUAUUUAAAAGAGUAAAUAAAAUAAGGCAUAAACUACUUAGCCUGUUCUUACCACAUAUUACUACCCAGUGUUAAUGAUUUGUC